AGAGUUUGAUCCUGGCUCAGGAUGAACGCUAGCUACAGGCUUAACACAUGCAAGUCGAGGGGCGAGCAUUUUAGUUUGCUUGCAAACUAAAGAUGGCGACCGGCGCACGGGUGAGUAACACGUAUCCAACCUGCCGAUAACUCGGGGAUAGCCUUUCGAAAGAAAGAUUAAUACCCGAUGGCAUAGUUCUUCCGCAUGGUAGAACUAUUAAAGAAUUUCGGUCAUCGAUGGGGAUGCGUUCCAUUAGGUUGUUGGCGGGGUAACGGCCCACCAAGCCUUCGAUGGAUAGGGGUUCUGAGAGGAAGGUCCCCCACAUUGGAACUGAGACACGGUCCAAACUCCUACGGGAGGCAGCA
rnacentral:rRNA from 1 species